rnacentral:tRNA from 1 species
GGGUUGCUAACUCAACGGUAGAGUACUCGGCUUUUAACCGACUGGUUCCGGGUUCGAAUCCCGGGCAACCCAC